CAGUAGCCGCGGGAAUACGAAGGGUGCAAGCGUUACUCGGAAUUACUGGGCGUAAAGCGUGCGUAGGUGGUGGUUUAAGUCCGUUGUGAAAGCCCUGGGCUCAACCUGGGAAUUGCAGUGGAUACUGGGUCACUAGAGUGUGGUAGAGGAUAGUGGAAUUUCCGGUGUAGUAGUGAAAUGCAUAGAGAUCGGAAGGAACAUCUGUGGCGAAGGCGACUAUCUGGGCCAACACUGACACUGAGGCACGAAAGCGUGGGGAGCAAACAGGAUUAGAUACCCCCGUAGUCCCUGUCUCUUAUAC
rnacentral:rRNA from 1 species